UUGGUUCUUCAUUUUCUCUCAGACAUUUGCACCAUUAACUGCUGCCCCAAAGGUUCCCACAUCAGAGCAUAAGAUAUGUAGGGCGAGAUGCAAAUAUGGCCUUCCUCUGCUCAUGAAAAGCAGCCCUGCCCUUACCCUGCAGUUCAGGCAGAGGACUCUAGCCCUGUCUUCCCAUUCAGUGAUCAGCACUGAAAACAGAACAUUCAACAUGGGGUUAGGGUUGCACUGGGUUUUCUUUGCUGUUCUUUUAAAAGGUGUCCAUUGUGAGGUGCAGCUGGUUGAGUCUGGUGGAGGAUUGGUGCAGCCUGAGGGGUCAUUGAAACUCUCCUGUGCAGCCUCUGGAUUCACCUUCAGUGACUAUGCCAUGUUCUGGUUCCGCCAGGCUCCAGGGAAGGGUCUUGAAUGGGUUGCUAGCAUAGACAUUAAAAGUUACAAUUAUGCGACCUACUAUGCCGAUUCAGUAAAAGGCAGAUUCACCAUCUCCAGAGAUGAUUCUCAAAGCAUGGCCUACCUGCAAAUGAACAGUCUUAAAACUGAGGACACAGCCACAUAUUACUGUUCAAUUGACACAAUGUGA